CCUACGGGAGGCAGCAGUGGGGAAUAUUGCGCAAUGGGGGAAACCCUGACGCAGCAACGCCGCGUGGAGGAAGAAGGUCUUCGGAUUGUAAACUCCUGUCUUCUGGGACGAUGAUGACGGUACCAGAGGAGGAAGCCACGGCUAACUACGUGCCAGCAGCCGCGGUAAU
rnacentral:rRNA from 1 species